GGGCCCGCACAAGCAGCGGUAGCGUGUGGUUUAACUCGAUGUUACACGAAGAACCUUACCAGGUUUGACAUGCAAGUGGUAGGAAGCCGAAAGGUGACCGACCCUUCGGGAGCGUUCACAGGUGCUGCAUGGCUGUCGUCAGCUCGUGCCGUGAGGUGUCGGGUUAAGUCCCGUAACGAGCGCAACCCCUGUCCUUAGUUACAAGUGUCUAAGGGGACUGCCGGCGGUAAGCCGGAGGAAGGUGGGAUGACGUCAAGUCAGCAUGGCCCAUAUGUCCAGGGCUACACACACGCUACAAUGGCCAGUACAAUGGGCAGCGAGACCGCGAGGUGGAGCGAAUCCCAACAAAAGCUGGUCAUAGUUCGAAUUGCAGGCUGCAACUCGCCUGCAUGAAGCUGGAGUUGCUAGUAACCGCGCGUCAGCUAUAGUGCGGUGAAUACGUUCCCGGGGCUU
rnacentral:rRNA from 1 species